GAGCUCCUUGUAUUCCCCUUUCAACAUCGGUCUCGCCGCUCUACUCCACCCCACCACCAUCGCACCAGUGCUGUGGCGAACCCACACGCACAUAGUUAGGCUCAAAAAAAGAGGAGCGCCAUGGGACGUCGUGAAGUGCCUACUCGCUUGCCAGCCGCGCCGGCCACGCUGCGGGCGGCGCUGUGCGUGGUGGUCGUUGUGCUUUGCUGGGCUUCGUCCAUCACCUACGGCUUCAGCUUUUCCUUUAUGCACGACCUCGGCUUAGCGUACUCGCAGGGGGAGACCGUUCACGUUCUGGCGAAGUCCGUCACAUCUCGCUCGAAAAUCGUACCGCUUCGGUGGAGCAGCGUUUUUCCGUGCGCGGCGUCACUGAGCCAAAGCACACUGCCGCCAUCGCGUCGCAGUAUUGGUCAGGUGCUGAUGGGUGAAACGCUGGAGGACUCUGGCAUUCGGCUGAAGGUGCUGACGGACAUGAAGUGUGUUCUCAUCUGCUCAGCGCGUUUCAACACGGCCGAGAGGGAACAGUACGAGAAGCGCAUCUUGGGCCGCUACCGGGCACACUUGGUGUUGGAUGGACUCCCGGCGCUGGAGGCGCCGUCGGUAGAUGGCGAGCACCGUCGCAUCCGCACCGGCUUCCCGCUUGGCAACUUCUCUAGGGCCGUGGCAACGGGGAUUAUAGAGGCGUACAACCACCUUCACUUAAUUGUCUCCUACUACCCAAUCACCUCGGCAGAUUCGCUAACGGUGCGGAUUGUGCAGUUCGAGGUGCAGCCCCGCAGCGUGUAUCACACCGGCGAGCUCGGUGGGGACGGCACCUGCACCUUUCCCGCCGUGCUCAAGCCGCAGAUCACGCCCAUGGAGAGCAUUCGCUUCAGCUACUCCGUUGAGUGGGUGGUGUCGACGACGCCGUGGAAGACGCGCUGGGACAACUACGUCGACGACAAUUCGCGCGAGUCGAAGGCGCGCUGGCACUCCAUCGUGAACGUCUUAUCAUUGGUGCUGCUGCAGUCGGUGCUCCUGUGGUACAUCCUCGUGCGGUCUGUGCGGCGCGACAUCUUAUCCUACAACGAGGAAGACUUGCUGGGCGAUCGCGAGGACAGCGGAUGGAAGCUUGUGCAUGGGGAUGUGUUCCGGCCGCCGCGCGGUGCUGUCUUUCUCUCCGUGCUUGUCGGCAAUGGCAUGCAGAUCAUGUUCAUGGUGAUUGCCUCGCUGCUCUUUGCCGUGGCUGGCAUGCUCUCGCACGACUCGCGCGGUACGCUGGCAUCGCUGCUUGUGAUGCUGUUUGUGCUCUUCUCCAGCGUCAAUGGGCUCGUGACGGCGAGUCUCAUUAAGCUCUUGCGGCGGCGCUCGUGGCAGGCAAUCUUUUUGACGUCCAUCGCGCUGCCGGGGUUUCUUUUCGUGGUUUACCUCACGCUCAACUUUAUACACCUCGGCUCCCACGCGGCGAGCACGCUGCCCUUCACAUCUCUCCUCUACCUGCUGGCGCUGUGGCUGUGCGUCUCGGUGCCGCUUUGCUUCGGCGGCGCCGUCGCCGGCUUCAGCUCCAACAUUUCGAUCCCGGCAAAGAUCAACGCCAUCCCGCGCACGAUCCCGCCGCAGCCGUGGUACAUGAAAGGCGUUUUCUCCUACGUGGCUCUCGGCAUCGUGCCACUGGCGGCGUCCUAUGUGGAGUUGCAGUCCAUCUUCAGCAGUGUGUGGCUCGGCGUCGCGUACCGCAUGUUCUCCUUCCUACUUGCAGCCUUUGUGCUGGUGUUGGUCAUUGUGGCGCAGGUAUCUAUCUUCUCCACCUAUAACCAGCUGAGCCUCCUCAACUACCACUGGUGGUGGCGCUCCUUCUUCGUGUCGGCGUCGUACGGAGCGUGGCUGAUGCUGUACUGCGUCUUGUACUACUGGUUCAUCUCCGUUGUGAAGGGCUUUCUCGGGAUGAUCCUGUUCUUUGGGUACAUGGGGCUGGCUUGCGUGACGGUGGCGCUUAUGUUUGGCGCCGUCGGCUUCCUGGCGUCCCUGGUGUUCGUCCGUAUCUUGUUUGCGAGUGUCAAGGCCGAUUAGACGGCGCGCGCGGGCGUCGAAGGUGCAGACGGACGGACGGAGGGAUGACGGAUCUUGACGGGGGAGGAGGGGGGCGCGCAUGCGUCGAGGGCUUGGCAGAAGGCGAAGGGCGACGGGAGGGUGUGGGCGGCGAAAAGGGGGUCGAGCGGAGCACCGCGUCUCUCCUUGUCUUUCCCCUUCCUCCUCCUCCUCCCGCCAUCCGCGUUCUUGCACUCGAACGGUUUCAUCCGCCCCGCCCCCGCCCUUACUGAGCUUCUUCGCACGCCUACCGCAAAGGCAGGAUAUGUGUGUACCUAUAGUCGCCUUCCUCCCUCGCUAAUGGCACACACCCACACAUGCGCAUGGACACCGCUCAAACUUGCUCGGUGCUCCCGUUGGCACUGUCCUGCUCUUGGUGUCUCUGCUUGAUCUCUGACGUGGUUGCCCGCAUCGUGCAGUUUCUCCCCUGCCCCGGUCUCUCACCGCGCGCUGCGCACUCCCUUUGCCGAGCCGCGUGCCCUCGCCCUCUUGUCUCAUUGCCGUCUCACACAUGAGGCGUGCGUGCCAGGAGAGACGGACGCUUUGCAGAGCCGCGCAGGAAAGCGUGUGGGUGAGACGCAGAGACGGGGCGGGAGUGGAGGAUGGGGGGGCCUUCGCGGCAGGAGGAAGGGCCCGACAGAGCAGCCCCCCCCCAUGUGAACUGGUGUGCUGAACGCACACCCGUGUCUGCGCUUACGUGCUCCGCAUGCGCUUGACAGUCAUCGCCGGGAGCUCGUUUAUUUAGGCGCGUAAGCACGUAUGUAGAGAAGAAAUCACCUGGGCAUAGAUAUCCAUAGAAGCGCCUCGUUGCCCAUGCUUGGCGGAGGCGGAUUGUGUCUGAGAGAGUCUGCGCGUGCGUGCUGGCACUGCUGCUGCGAUGGCGACCUAUCAUCCGCGCACCCACACCCACGUGUCUGCAUCUCUCUCUCCCCUCGCGCUACGCAACUCUGUUCCGUGCGUGUGGUGACUGUUUGAGCUGUUCACGUCUGCUUCCAUU
rnacentral:misc_RNA from 1 species